CAAUAGCGUAUAUUAAAGUUGUUGCAGUUAAAAAGCUCGUAGUUGGAUUUCGGGGCAGCCUGGCUGGUCCGCCGCAAGGCGAGUACUGGUCAGCCGCCCUUCCUCUCGAAAGCCCAGACUGCUCUUCGUUGCAGUGGUCGGGUAGUUCGGGACGUUUACUUUGAAAAAAUUAGAGUGUUCAAGGCAGGCCUACGCCUGAAUACAUUAGCAUGGAAUAAUGGAAGAGGACCUCGGUCCUAUUUUGUUGGUUUCCAGGGCCGAAGUAAUGAUUAAGAGGGACAGUUGGGGGCAUUCGUAUUUAAUUGUCAGAGGUGAAAUUCUCGGAUUUAUGAAAGACGAACAACUGCGAAAGCAUUUGCCAAGGAUGUUUUCAUUAA
rnacentral:rRNA from 1 species